UACGUAGGGUCCGAGCGUUGUCCGGAAUUACUGGGCGUAAAGAGCUCGUAGGUGGUUUGUCGCGUUGUUCGUGAAAACUCACAGCUUAACUGUGGGCGUGCGGGCGAUACGGGCAGACUAGAGUACUGCAGGGGAGACUGGAAUUCCUGGUGUAGCGGUGGAAUGCGCAGAUAUCAGGAAGAACACCCGUGGCGAAGGCGGCUCUCUGGGACGGUACUGACGCUGAGACGCGAAAGCGUGGGGAGCGAACAGG
rnacentral:rRNA from 1 species